UUUUUAAAUCUGUGUGUGGAAGGCAACUGCAAUAUAGAGGAUUUGGAAGGUUGUCUGUUUCUGUUGUCUGGGGAAAUGAUAAAAAAAAAAAAAAAAAAGAGAGAGAUGUGAAAAGGAAAAAGAUGGACCAGGUGAUUUUUCCAAUCUUCAAAAUUUAAAUUUCUUGGUUCUUAUAAACAUAGGAAGAGUCACUGAAAGGUGGCACCAAUGGAUAUUUUGUAAAAUAACCCACAACUUUAGAGCUGGAAAGGACUUGAAGAAACAAUUAAUCCAACUUCCUCACUUUUUUGUCUCAGGAAACUGAAGCCCAAUUGGGAAAACAGCAACUUACUUAACACAGCACCUGACCAGAGUAGACAUUUGAUAAAUAUUUGUUGAGUUGAAUUAAUCCUGCCAUCUAUCCCUUUUUACUAUGCAAUCUUUAUUUUUCCUGGAGCUUCUUACUUUUAACUUUAAGAGAUGGCUUCUAGUUCAAGUAUUUUGAGGCUUGGUACCCAAUGCUGAUUUGUCAUCUCUCUAGAUUUUACUUUUUCAUAUUGAAAUUCUUUUUUUAGUCUAUUCUCUUGUAGCUUUUGUUACAUCCAAUGAUCAUUUGCCUCUCUCCAGGCACUACCAAACUCAUUACUGUGGAUAGUUUCUGCCUUUACAGGCUUAGAAUUGACAAAUUGAGAGACACAUUUUUUUUUCAAUUCUCAAAACAACUAGACUCUUUCCAGCAGAUUUGCUAAGGCACACUAGAAGAAAUGUAAAAAUCUCACAUUCUUGUUCUAGUUAAUACAUGGGAGAAUAUUACUAAUACAUACAUUUGUUUUCUACAUUUGUGGUUGCCUUAUACAUCUCCUUCACGUUUAAUUCCUUAAACACAUAAAUAUGAGUCAUGAUAUCUAAAGCCAGUCUCAUUUAAACAAGAUAAGAAAUGGUUUGUGGGGAAUUAGCACUUAGACCUUGGUAAUGUUUAGAAAUCAUCUUUAGAAACUUGGUGAGAAUGCCCUAAUUUUAUGUAAAGGGUCGUCAUGGUUUGAAUGGGACUUAGUAGUAAAGUGUGUGAGACAGUGCAUUUACCAAAUGAUAUUUUUUUGUGGAUUUAAUUUUUUGUUAGUUUUGCUUGAAAUUCCUGUUAAAUUGCAUUCUGGACAUGACCUAAGGCUAGCUUGUCCAACCCUUGGCCCAUGAUGGUUUUGAAUGUGGCCCAAGACAAAUUCGUAAACUUUCUUAAAACAUUAUGCUAUUUUGGCCAGGCGCGGCGGCUCAUGCCUGUUAUCCUAGCACUCUGGGAGGCUAAGGCGGGUGGAUCACCUGAGCUCAGAAGUUCAAGACCAGCUGGCCAACAUAAUGAAAUCCCAUCUCUACUAAAAAUACAAAAAUUAGUCAGGCGUGGUGGCACAUGCCUGUAGUCCCAGCUACUCGGGAGGUUGAGGCAGGAGAAUCACUUGAACCCGGGAGGCGGAGGUUGCAGUGAGCCGAUGUCGUGCCACUGCACUCUAGCCUGGGUGACAGACUGAGACUCCGUCUCAAAAAAAAAAAAAAAAAAAAAAACAAAAAAGAAAAUGCUAUUUUUUGGCCAUGUUUUUAAAGCUCAUCAGCUGUUGUUACUGUAUUUUAUGUGUGACCCAAGACAAUUCUUCUUCCUAUGUGGCCCAGGGAAGCCAAAAGAUUGGACCUCCCUGACUAAGGUCUAGAUAUGCUGGAAUUAACAUAUAAUCCUCAUUUUUAGAAGAGUUAAAGUUACCACUCGAACUGGGAGCAUUUCUAUAAGCAGGCUGGAUGGUAGUGCUUCCUACUUAAACCAAUUUAAUAUUCCCAAGGCUUUUAAGAAAAAACUUCAGCUCAUUCUGUUUUCCCACCACUAAACUUAUGGUGAAAUAUAUAUCACCUCUGAAAUCAUGACUUUAUCUCACAAAUUUUGACCUUACUAUCUCAGACCUCCAUCUUACUGUGGUGACAAAAUAAAUGCAAAGUAACGGUCAGCGGUUAGUGCUGGAAGAACAAAGACCUACUGCAUGAAGACUGGUUGUGCACUCUAUCAAAUGCUUUCUUUUCCUACUGACCAUUGAAAUGGGCAAGGCUCAGGCUCAUGGAUCUGUUUGACUUGCAGGAACAAAGCAAUCAAUCACCGUGACUAUGGACAGCAUCUAUGCUACUAUGCUUUGGGGCACAAAAAUGUUUUUCAAUGUGAAUGAGGUACAUUGUAGUUCAAAUUCAGCAGCAUAUUAAGUGCCUAAAUGCUGACAGGUUUUAUUACUUGACUCUGGAGGCAGGAGUAAAAGGAAAGCAAAAUUAUUUAAGUCCUUCAGGAAAUAAAAGCAUGCUUGCUGGCUUUAUUAUGAGUAUUUGAUGAUAAGUAAGGGUUAAGUAGCCUUCGAGUCUCAGGGUCAGUAUUCUUUCAGCAAACAUUUAUUGAAUACAUACUCAUUUUCCUUUAUUUCAUGAGUAUACGUUUGCCCUCCUGGCAAGCAUUUAAGGUGGCUGAACCCUAUUAUAUUCCAAGCUUUGUGCUAGGUGUUGGAAACACAAAAAAUUAUAUAUAGUCCUUGCCUUCAUGGAUCCCAUUUAUCAGAAACAUAAGUUUCUAGGGAAAUAAACUCUUACUCCCAGCCACUGGAUUUGAAUAGAAAUCAGUCUCAUUUCAAAUAAAAAAUAUUUUAAAUCAAACAAUGUUCUCAAGGAUUAUGAACCCUGCCAAUAAUGCAGGAAGGCACAGUAAGGGAAGAGCCAAAUAGAAAAAAUGAAACUGUCCAGAUAAUAUUUAAUAUGAAUGAAAUGCAAACUUUUGAUAAGGAAUAACUAGUACUAUGUCUGCAAGAGCAGGCAAGGGGGAUCAUCUAAUGGUCUCCCCACAAAGUGCCUCACAUUGUCUUGUCUGACAUGUCAUGAGUACAUUUCUUAUCUUUUUGCUGUAAAGUCAAAAAGCAGGCCCUAGACUCAAAAGAAAGCACAGCUCUUGAUACCACGUGAUAUCUAAUUUAUGUUCUAAGAGUAAUACUAUGUACUGGUAAAAUGAAUUCAUUUUUAAUAUUUUCACAUUAUUGAUAACAAAGAUUAUUUGUGACCACAAAAAAAAAAAAUAAAAAGUCCAGGUCCAGGGUUGCAAAAGUAGAAUCUGCAUAUCCACAGGUAAUUUGCCCAACUGUUUUCUAUGUAGGUUAUUACAUAGCUAAUUUGCCCACUUGUAUUUUCUUUAGAAGUUAUUUAAACCUAGUAAAACACUCAUUACGUCUAAAAAUAUAUAGUAUUAUUAUCCCCAAACCCCUAAAUGCUACCCAUAAUCAGUUUCCUAAAAACAGUAGAGGGAAAACAAAUUUGAUGAAAUUAAGAUGUUAGGUUUUUAAAAAUUAAUAAUAAUUUGUGGGUCCAGCAUGGUGGCUCACGCCUGUAAUCCCAGAGCUUUGGGAGACUGAGGCAGGCUUAUCACCUGAGGUCAGACAUUCGAGACCAGCCUGGCCAACAUGGUGAAACCCCAUCUCUACUAAAAAUACAUAAAUUAGUGGUGCAUGGUGGCAGGCGCCUGUAAUCCCAGCUACUCAGGAGGCUGAGGCAGGAGAUUUGGGAGGCAGAGGUUGCAAUGAGCCGAGAUCACGCCAUUGCACUCCAGCCUGGGCGACAAGAGCGAAACUUUGUCUCAGUAAUAAUAAUAAUAAUAAUAAUAAUAAUACUCUGUCUCAAUAAUAAUAAUAAUAAUAAUUUGUUUGCAGAAUAUAGAUAGCAUAGAAGGGAUUUUUCCCAACUCUUGGUAAAAAAAACAAAAAAGUCCAGGUGCAUGUACACAGGAAAUGAGAAUUUACCAUGGGGGGCGGGGAAAUAAGCUCCAACAAGCAAUCCACAUGUUAUGCUAGCAGAUGAGGCAGAGAUCUUGACAGAGUGCUAAGCGUGAGUGACUAAGGAAGGUGCUGGGAUGAGCUUCAUUUCCCUUGCCAACUCUCCAAUCCAUUUAGAUGUUCUAUGAGGAAUUAAUCUCAAAAGCCUUCAGUACAACAGGGGAAGAGAUAUGCGUUGAAAUUCCUUGACAAAAACCUCAAAGGAACUCCACUGUAUUUCAAAGAGCAUGAAAAACCACUUAUGAAGAAAAAGACAAAUGAAGUUAGAGAGUCUUAUUACUAUUGAGACUAAACCUAUAUUUAGAAGGAAUCUUGGUAGACAUAUAGACCAAAUCCAAUGUAAGAUUCCCUUUCACAGCACGUGGGAUAGGUGGUUAUUUUAACUGUUGGGCAUUCACAGGAACAGGAAAUCUUACUAACUUGAGUCUAUUCCUCUUUAGAACAACUCUUAUUAGACAAUUCUUCCUUAUAUUGAAGCAAACAUUUGUCACCUGUAAAGUUCCUCUUUGUUCUUAUUUUUGCCCUUUGAAGCUACACAGAAUAAAUCUAAUUCCUCUUCCUUUUCAUAGCUCAAUAGAAAUUUCUAGGCAGCUAUUGUAUCAUUCCCUCCUUGUCUGCACUCCCUUUCCAGCUAUACCUUCUGUUCCUUCAGGGAAGCUACUCCCUUGUUCUUGCAUCAUCAGACCCUUUACAACCCUGGUCACCUCCCUAUGGACACAAUCAACUUAUUAAUGUCUCUCUUAAAAUAUGAUACCCAUAAUUGAACUCAACCCUCCAUUUAGAUAUGGACUAGAUGGAGGGUUAAUAAAAGCAUGUAAGGCUUUUAUUAACACCAGCUGACUACAUUAGCUUUGUGAAUAGCCAUGAUAUAUUUCUGAUUCAACAUUGAACCUCCAUUUCUGUAAGGAAAUAUUUCUCUAUAAACUACCGUGAAACCAGGUCUUCCUAACACCGUUCCCAUCAACACCACACACAUAAACACACACAAACACACACAUCCACAAACACACACUCCACUCUGUACUUAGAGGGUUGCAUUUUAAAAACCCAGAAUAUAGGGUUUCUCAUUAAUGCCUAUUCAAUCAUCAUUUUACUUUCAGUCUUAGUUCAGAUAUUUCAAAAUACUGUAACUAUUUCUAUAUCCCAGUGUCAAUACACAUUUAGACUCCAAUGAUUGUUCAUUGAAUACAUUAAUCUUGAAUCCAUCAGCCAAAAACUGGAGAUAUUUUUCAUUUCUGCAUCAUCUACAAAUCCAAUGAAGUGUGCUUUCUGUCCCCCGACUUGUAUUCUUCAUGGGAGAAAACACUAAGAUACAAAUAAGAAGCAGAGGUGAGUAGGAACGGAUGAAGGAAAAGAAGAUUAAUUGUCCCAGAAACAGAUGAAGAAAAAGAAGAUGGAGUGAGCGUUCUGACUCUUGGAAUCAGAAUAUAAUGUUCCCAACAUUAGAAAAAUAUGGCUUUUCCACGUCUCUACCCUAGAGAUGCCUUUUCAAUCCAAUCCAAUACUGUGAUUAUCAAACUCUGAAUUUUGGGGGAAAGCUCAUUCAAGCUUAAUUUUAAAACAGCUUUAAAAAUUAUCUUUGCAGCUUAAAUUUCCUAUAAAGUUGGGUUAAAGGGACAUGCAACUGUCUAUUGGUCAUGAGGUAUAAAAAGAACUCCCAAAUGCCCCUUACAAAUGCCUCAGGUAUUAUGUAUAUUUGUUUCAGGAAUCAGAAGUGGACUGUAUUUUUCAGUGUGAAUUUGGGAAUUCACUGAGAUUGAAUCUACCUCUUGAACUGAACAUCAUCUUAUAUUUAAUGUCUCUUUUCUCCAAAAUGAAGAAAACUAAGAUUAAUUUUGCCUUCCCCUCAACACCCAUUUUGCAGAAUGUGGGUCCAUUCACAAAAUUAAAAAGUCUCCUAUUGUGCCUUUUUCCAUUGUCUAUUGUGACUCAGGAUAGCAAAUCCUGUGACUGAAACCUUAGAGAGAUGGAAAAAGUGUUCCAAUCUAAACGAUCUAGAGCCAGGAGGGAAAUGUCUUGAAAGCUUAACAGUUAAAGAAUGGAGACACCUCAAAAAGGUCUAGUAAGACCCAAAGAGGAAAUUUGUUUUGCACCUUUUCUGAACCUUUUCUAGACAGAGUGAAAGAGAUGGAUUCUUAAUUAACUUCUCAAGACUGCCUUUGCCAGAAAGUUAUGCGAGUGACAGAUGAACAUCAGAAGGCAAUCGUGCUAACACUGAUGUGGGAGGUUCUUUUCCUGACUGUAACAGUCACAACAAACCACAUACCAGUGCUGUGAGAUAA
rnacentral:lncRNA from 10 species